rnacentral:rRNA from 1 species
GAUGAACGCUAGCUACAGGCUUAACACAUGCAAGUCGAGGGGCAGCAUGUCGGUUGCUUGCAACCGAUGAUGGCGACCGGCGUACGGGUGAGUAACGCGUAUCCAACCUACCCUUGUCCAUCGGAUAACCCGUCGAAAGGCGGCCUAACACGAUAUGCGGUUCACAGCAGGCAUCUAACGUGAACGCAAUGUGAAGGAGAAGGGUGGGGAUGCGUCUGAUUAGCUUGUUGGCGGGGUAACGGCCCACCAAGGCUACGAGCAGUAGGGGUUCUGAGAGGAAGGUCCCCCACAUUGGAACUGAGACACGGUCCAAACUCCUACGGGAGGCAGCAGUGAGGAAUAUUGGUCAAUGGACGAGAGUCUGAACCAGCCAAGUAGCGUGCAGGAUGACGGCCCUAUGGGUUGUAAACUGCUUUUAUAGGGGGAUAAAGUGUGCCACGUGUGGCAUAUUGCAGGUACCCUAUGAAUAAGGACCGGCUAAUUCCGUGCCAGCCGCCGCCGUAAAAC